rnacentral:rRNA from 1 species
UGAGGAAUCUUGCGCAAUGGGGGAAACCCUGACGCAGCAACGCCGCGUGAGUGAGGAAGGCCUUCGGGUCGUAAAGCUCUGUCAGAUGGGAAGAAAUGGGUGGGGGCUAAUAUCGUCCAUCCUUGACGGUACCAUCAGAGGAAGCACCGGCUAACUCCGUGCCAGCAGCCGCGGUAAUACGGGGGGUGCAAGCGUUGUUCGGAAUCAUUGGGCGUAAAGCGCGCGCAGGCGGGUUGGUAAGUCAGAUGUGAAAUCCCUGGGCUUAACCCAGGAAGGGCAUUUGAUACUGCCUGGCUAGAGUACGGGAGAGGAAAGUGGAAUUCCUGGUGUAGAGGUGAAAUUCGUAGAUAUCAGGAGGAACACCGGUGGCGAAGGCGACUUUCUGGCCCGAUACUGACGCUCAGGCGCGAAAGCGUGGGGAGCAAACA